rnacentral:rRNA from 1 species
CUGACGCAGCGACGCCGCGUGGGUGAUGAAGGCCUUCGGGUCGUAAAGCUCUGUUGUUGGUGAAGAAGGACAGGGGUAGUAACUGACCUUUGUUUGACGGUAAUCAAUUAGAAAGUCACGGCUAACUACGUGCCAGCAGCCGCGGU